rnacentral:rRNA from 1 species
GAUGAACGCUGACAGAAUGCUUAACACAUGCAAGUCAACUUGAACUUCGGUUUGGGUGGCGGACGGGUGAGUAACGCGUAAAGAACUUGCCUCACAGCUAGGGACAACAUUUGGAAACGAAUGCUAAUACCUGAUAUUAUGAUUAUAUGGCAUCGUAUAAUUAUGAAAGCUAUAUGCGCUGUGAGAGAGCUUUGCGUCCCAUUAGCUAGUUGGAGAGGUAACAGCUCACCAAGGCGAUGAUGGGUAGCCGGCCUGAGAGGGUGAUCGGCCACAAGGGGACUGAGACACGGCCCUUACUCCUACGGGAGGCAGCAGUGGGGAAUAUUGGACAAUGGACCGAGAGUCUGAUCCAGCAAUUCUGUGUGCAAGAUGAAGUUUUUCGGAAUGUGAAGUGCUUUCAGUUGGGAAGAAAAAAAUGACGGUACCAACAGAAGAAGUGACGGCUAAAUACGUG